CAGCUCCCCGUGCAGACCCCGCCCCGCGCCUGCGCAGUGCCGGAACCGCCGCUUUCCCGCGCGGGUGAGGAGUCGGGUCUGUGGGGGGAUUGGCAGCGCUGGGUACCCGCUGCUCAGCAGGGACCUUUCCGUGCUUCUGUGCGGGCUUUGGGCCCCGUGGGGAACGAGCCUCCCGUUGAAGGAUGAGAAGUAGUAAGGAGCCGUUUUUUGUGAAGUUCAUAAAGUCUUCCGGGAGUUCGGAGUAUUUUUCUAAAGCUCUUGAGUCUAUAAAAGAAUUCCAGUCAGAAGAGCAUCUCCAGAUCCUUGAAGAAGCAUCAGUACUCAAUAUAAAAGAAAGUGGACUUCAUCCUGUAUUUAGGGAAGAGAGUAACCAGCAAAGCAUAAUGAUUAUUUUCAGUAAUUUGGAAAAGCAAACAGUAUGGUCAGUUCUGAUUCUGCUGGAGUGCCUGAGCUGGUUCUUACACUAUUUAUCUCCUGAUAAACAUGAUUUGGUUUGAAUCUGCAAGGAGUAGUCUAGUGGACAAAGAUAGGCUAGCUGGAAUUCCUGGC
rnacentral:lncRNA from 1 species